rnacentral:rRNA from 1 species
UACGGAGGGUGCGAGCGUUGUCCGGAAUCACUGGGCGUAAAGCGCACGUAGGCGGCUUUGUAAGUUAGAGGUGAAAGCCCGGGGCUCAACCCCGGAAUUGCCUUUAAGACUGCAUCGCUAGAAUUGUGGAGAGGUAAGUGGAAUUCCGAGUGUAGAGGUGAAAUUCGUAGAUAUUCGGAAGAACACCAGUGGCGAAGGCGACUUACUGGACACAUAUUGACGCUGAGGUGCGAAAGCGUGGGGAGCAAACAGG